rnacentral:rRNA from 1 species
AUUGAACGCUGGCGGCAUGCUUUGCACAUGCAAGUCGAACGGUAACAGGGAGCUUGCUCCGCUGACGAGUGGCGAACGGGUGAGUAAUAUAUCGGAACGUACCCAGAAGUGGGGGAUAACGUAGCGAAAGUUACGCUAAUACCGCAUACGAUCCACGGAUGAAAGUAGGGGACCUUCGGGCCUUAUGCUUUUGGAGCGGCCGAUAUCUGAUUAGCUAGUUGGUGAGGUAAAGGCUCACCAAGGCGACGAUCAGUAGCUGGUCUGAGAGGACGACCAGCCACACUGGAACUGGGACAAGGUCCAGACUCCUACGGGAGGCAGCAGUGGGGAAUUUUGGACAAUGGGCGCAAGCCUGAUCCAGCAAUGCCGCGUGAGUGAAGAAGGCCUUCGGGUUGUAAAGCUCUUUUGUCAGAGAAGAAACGGGAGUGGCUAAUAUCCAUUCCUAAUGACGGUACCUGAAGAAUAAGCACCGGCUAACUACGUGCCAGCAGCCGCGGUAACAC